CCUACGGGUGGCUGCAGUGAGGAAUAUUGGUCAAUGGCCGGAAGGCUGAACCAGCCAAGCCGCGUGAAGGACGAAGGUGCCAAGCAUUGUAAACUUCUUUUGUCAAGGGACAAAAUCAGGCUCGAGAGCCUGACCGAGGGUACUUGAAGAAAAAGCAUCGGCAAACUCCGUGCCAGCAGCCGCGGUAAUACGGGGGAUGAGAGAGUAAUCCGGAUUUAUUGGGUUAAAAGGGUGCGUAGGCGGGCGGUUAAGUUAGCGGUAAAAGCCCGGGGCGCAACCCCGUCGAGCCGUUGAAACUGGCUGUCUUGAGAUGUCGAGAGGUAUGCGGAAUGCGCAGUGUAGCGGUGAAAUGCUUAGAGAUUGCGCAGAACACCGGUUGCGAAGGCAGCAUACCGGCGGCGAUCUGACGCUGAGGCACGAAAGCGUGGGUAGCGAACAGGAUUAGAUACCCCAGUAGUC
rnacentral:rRNA from 1 species